AUUGAACGCUGGCGGCAUGCUUUACACAUGCAAGUCGAACGGUAACAGGGUGCUUGCACCGCUGACGAGUGGCGAACGGGUGAGUAAUGCGUCGGAACGUGCCGAGUAGUGGGGGAUAACGCAGCGAAAGUUGUGCUAAUACCGCAUACGUACUGAGGUAGAAAGUGGGGGACCUUCGGGCCUCACGCUAUUCGAGCGGCCGACGUCUGAUUAGCUAGUAGGUGAGGUAAAGGCUCACCUAGGCGACGAUCAGUAGCGGGUCUGAGAGGAUGAUCCGCCACACUGGGACUGAGACACGGCCCAGACUCCUACGGGAGGCAGCAGUGGGGAAUCUUGGACAAUGGGCGAAAGCCUGAUCCAGCCAUGCCGCGUGUCUGAAGAAGGCCUUCGGGCUGUAAAGGACUUUUGUCAGGGAGGAAAUCCCUAGUGCUAAUAACACUGGGGGAUGACAGUACCUGAAGAAUAAGCACCGGCUAACUACGUGCCAGCAGCCGCCGUAA
rnacentral:rRNA from 1 species